rnacentral:lncRNA from 1 species
AUUAUCAGCGUUGCAGCGACAACAAUUUUCUACAUGCUUUGCGGCUGUUUUGGAUAUGCCGCGUUUGGAAAUUCAAGUCCUGGAAACCUUUUAACCGGUUUUGGUUUCUAUAACCCAUUUUGGCUCCUUGACAUAGCCAAUGCUGCCAUAGUUAUCCACCUUAUAGGUUCAUACCAAGUUUACUGCCAACCCCUUUAUGCAUUCGUUGAAAGUUACACGGCGAAAAGAUUCCCUCAGAGUGAUUUUGUGAAUAAGAACAUAAAAAUUCCAAUCCCUGGCAUACAAAUGUACAAGCUCAACCUAUUUAGAUUGGUUUGGAGGACAAUUUUUGUAAUAUUAUCAACUUUGGUAGCAAUGCUCCUUCCAUUCUUCAAUGAUAUUGUUGGACUUCUUGGUGCAAUCGGAUUUUGGCCACUUACCGUUUAUUUUCCGGUGGAGAUGUAUAUAGUUCAAAAGAGAAUACCAAAGUGGAGCUCAAAAUGGAUCUGUCUUCAAUUGCUUAGUGUUGUUUGUCUUAUAAUCUCUAUAGCUGCUGCUGUUGGUUCUAUUGCUGGGAUUGUUCUUGAUCUUAAAGUUUUUAAGCCAUUCAAGUCUGUCUAUUGAUUCAAUAUUGUGACUACAUUAAUUUGUGUAUGAUCAGUGUAUAGUUUGAGACUUCAUGGGAUACAUACUUUACAUUGCAGCUUGUGUGAAGGGGGAAAUAUUGUACACAACUGUGUGAGACUAUUUUAUUAAAAGGAAAAAUAUUUAUGUUGAAUGGUUCACUACUUGAAUAAUUAUAGUUGUUAAAGUUUAUUGCAAGUUGAACCUUGAACAUGAACAUGAACUGAAAUGUUUUCUUUUUGUUUUUCCUUCCUUCCAUCCAAUGCAAUAAUAUGAAAGAAAUAAAACAGUUUAUAGACUCUUGUUAUCUUCUUGAGUUGGCUAUUGUAAUUAGAAUUUUGAAAACUAACCUUCAUUGAAAAAUUAUUACAUGGAUAACAUAAGAAAAACUUUAUCUUGUAAAUUGUGCAUUAAUUUCAUUGAGACUUUAAAAAUUGAUUUUUGUUUUAUUAAACUCAUAAAUUAUUUCUAUUUCUGUCUUCUUAAAGAGUGUAAUAAGGGCACUUGUUACCAUAAUUUUUUUUAAUAGAAUAUAUUGAAUGUCAAAAUAUACACCCUCUGGUAACUAUUAUAAGCAAAAAUUUACAUUUUGCAUUCAUUCAAUUAAUAUAUGUCAUUUAAUGAAAGAAUCUAAAAUGUUAAUUUUUGUUUAUAUUAGUAACAGCAGGGUGUAUGUAUUUUUUAACUUGCAAAAUAAGAGAGUGUGAUAUUUUUACUAAAUUAUCCUUGCAAUGUAGUGAGAUACCCUCCUUGAAUACACCUCCCUAAAAUAAUGAAGCUCUUAUUUGUUAUGCUAAUAGAGAUUGCCUCACUGCAUUGUCAACUUUUUUUAAUAGAAUAAGGAAUUUAUCUUAAGUUUUUUUUUAAGGGAAUUUAUCUUAAGUUGUUUUCUUUAUCAAAAGUCACAAAUCUUAUUUCUUACACCAUUCUCUCUAUGUCCUCUAACCAUCACUUUACUGCUUGCUUCUGUCAUUAAUUGCACCCACAAAUUACAUGGCUGUAGAAUAUGCUACAAGAGGAUCCACCUACCAAAUUGAGUGUAUGGAAUCUCAUUCUCCCUUAUAUAUACCCCACGUUCAACACCAUCUUCCUUCAUUGCAUAAACUAGUUACACAACACGUUUAUUCAACUCAUUUAAUAUUAUAAGCAAGAGUGCUCAAAAGGGCAACAGACACACACACACAACACCCUCUUUGUGUCUCUUCCUUUCCUCUCUUUGACAUCCAACAUCACUGUUUUUGCCUGUACUUUCUAACUCUUAUAGUUAAAUCAGUUUUUGUUGACUUUUUGCAAGAAUUAAACGUUCUUGCAAGUUUCUGUCUCAUAAUUAAUAAAUAAUUAUUAAUCAACCACCCUUCUAAAUACAUUAUUACCUACAUCUCUGAGCUGUACCCUUCUUUGUCACUUGUCCAAAUAUUUAAAUUAGAACCUUUCUUUCAAAUACAUACUCCCCAUUGUUCACUAAAAAUUUAGUCAAGAUUAUAAACCUAACUUGGGUUAAUUAGUCUUUUAUCAUAACAAAGAUGGUUGAAAAGAAUGGUAGCACGAAUCAUCACCAAACAUUUGAUGUCUCCAUUGAUCAACAAAGAGAUUCUAAGUUUUUCGACGACGAUGGUCGUGUCAAACGAACCGGUAAUUAAGUCUCUUUUUUUCUCUUUCAUUGUUUUUUAUUUUGUUCGCACUGAUUUUAGACUCAACUCAAAUUCUAAUAUGUUUCUUGAAAAACACAGGAACUGCUUGGACUGCAAGUGCACAUGUAAUAACAGCUGUGAUAGGGUCUGGAGUGCUGUCUCUAGCUUGGGCUAUUGCUCAACUUGGAUGGAUUGCUGGUCCUAUUGUUAUGAUUCUCUUUGCUUGGGUUACUUAUUAUACCUCCAUUCUUCUCUGUGAAUGUUAUCGUACUGGUGAUCCUAUCAGUGGCAAGAGAAACUAUACUUACAUGGAUGUUGUUCAUUCCAAUCUUGGUAAAUUCAAAUUCACACACCUAGCUAACCAUACAUUUAUAUAUAUAAGAAAACAAAUUUCAAAUUUUUUUUUCAGUAUGAAAUAUUUACUUUUUUUCUUGUUUUUUAUGUUUGUUCAGGUGGUUUUCAAGUCACGUUAUGUGGGAUAGUUCAGUAUCUCAACCUUGUUGGAGUUGCCAUUGGAUACACUAUAGCCUCAGCCAUAAGCAUGAUGUAAGUUUGAGAUCUUAUUCAUAUUUUAAAGUUAAUUUUAUUCAAGAAAAUAUCCAAGGAAUAUGGUAGAAUUGACUUUGGUUAAUUUUGUAUGAAACAGGGCAAUUGAAAGGUCAAAUUGUUUCCAUAGAAGUGGUGGAAAAGAUCCAUGUCACAUGAAUAGCAAUAUUUACAUGAUUUCAUUUGGUGCAGUGCAAAUUAUAUUCUCUCAAAUUCCAGAUUUUGAUCAAAUAUGGUGGCUCUCCAGUUUAGCUACUGUUAUGUCCUUUAUAUACUCCACAAUUGGCCUUGGCCUUGGUAUUGGGAAAGUUAUAGGUAUAUGUAAUUCUACACAUAUAUAAUUUAUAUUCUUUUAUUGUCUAUAAUAAAAAAAAUGUUUGAUUCAAAUUGGUCAUGUAAUAGAAAAUAAAAAGAUUGAUGGAACCGUAACCGGGGUAACUGAUGUAACAAAAGCUCAGAAAGUUUGGGGGAGUUUUCAAGCUCUUGGUGACAUAGCCUUUGCAUAUUCAUACUCCAUGAUCCUUAUAGAAAUUCAGGUAUUAAUUCAUUUUCUUGUAUUUCUUUUUUAUAAGACUUGUUUUGUUCCAUAACUUUAUAAAAAUAUUUCCAACAGUCAUAAAAUUCAAGUCCCAUAUUGAAAAUAGACAAGGUUUGAAAAAAGAAAUAUAACGAAUGACUUUAUCACCUUAUAAGUUAGUUUUCUAGGGCUGAGUUAAGCUCAAUCAAAGUUUAAAAAUUAUAUUAUUAUUAUGAAUCAGGACACGGUUAAAGCACCACCUCCGACUGAGGCAAAGACAAUGAAGAAGGCUACAAUCAUCAGCGUUGCAUCGACAACAUUUUUCUACAUGCUUUGCGGCUGUUUUGGAUAUGCUGCGUUUGGAAAUUCAAGUCCUGGAAACCUUUUAACCGGUUUUGGUUUCUAUAACCCAUUUUGGCUCCUUGACAUAGCCAAUGCUGCCAUAGUUAUCCACCUCAUUGGUGCGUACCAAGUCUACUGCCAACCCCUUUAUGCAUUCGUCGAAAAUUACACGGCAAAAAGAUUCCCUCGCAGUGAUUUUGUGAAUAAGAACAUAAAAAUUCCAAUCCCUGGCAUACAAAUGUACAAGCUCAACCUAU